rnacentral:rRNA from 1 species
UGCGUAGGCGGGGGCGUAAGUGUCUCGUGAAAUCCCACGGCUCAACCGUGGAACCGCGGGGCAUACUGCGCCUCUUGAGGUCGGUAGGCGCUGCCGGAACUGUAGGUGUAGCGGUGAAAUGCGUAGAUAUCUACAGGAACGCCGAUGGUGAAGACGGGCAGCUGGGCCGAUUCUGACGCUGAGGCACGAAAGCGUGGGAUCAAACA